rnacentral:rRNA from 1 species
AUUGAACGCUGGCGGCAGGCCUAACACAUGCAAGUCGAACGAGUGGCGGACGUGUGAUUAAUGUCUGGGCAACUGCCUGAUGGAUUAGGAUAACUACUGGAAACUGUAGCUAAUACCGCAUACCCUCACCUGUGCCCAGCUGGGAUUAGCUUGUUGGUGGGGUAACGGCUCACCAAGGCGACGAUACCUAGCUGGUCUGAGAGGAUGACCAGCCACACGGGAACUGAGAAACGUUCCAGACUCCUACGGGAGGCAGCAGUGGGGAAUAUUGCACAAUGGGCGAAAGCCUGAUGCAGCCAUGCCGCGUGUAUGAAGAAGGCCUUCGGGUUGUAAAGUACUUUCAGCGGGGAGGCGUUACCCGCAGAAGAAGCACCGGCUAACUCCGUGCCAGCAGCCGCGGUAAUUC